GUGCUCUCUUCAGCAGCACAUAUACUAAAAUUAGAACAAUACAGAGAAGAUGAGUAUGGCCCCUGUGCAAGGAUGACAGAUUCAUGAAGCAUUUAAUAUUUUU
rnacentral:snRNA from 1 species